ensembl:snoRNA
CUGUAUCCAUUCAUCGACCUUGAACAAUUUAUGGUUGUUCUCCAAGUUUGCACUAAGAUGAAGUGAAAAUACUCCCUGUGGUUUCAGUCUGUUAUUGUGACUGUCCAGAUUGAAUUGGGGAGUACUUCU